AAAGGAAACUGUUCUAAAUUGUCCUACCUGGAAGUGCUUCCUUGGUUCCUGGCUAUCUGAGACUUUGUUCAACCUGUUAAAUGGGCAGACCCCCAUCAUAAGGUUGCCCUACCGUCAUUGAAUUUGACCUGGAAGGGAUAAUAUCACUUAGUCUUGCAUACUAAUUUUCCAGAUGGAGAAACUGGCAUCCAGAGAAGUGAUGUGUUUUGCCACGUCAAGCUCUCUUCCCUCUUCAUCCCAACUUCUUGGCUUCUCUGCCUUUUUUCAUGUGUCAGCAAAAAUCCCACCUUCUUCAAGAGGACUUUUCCAGACCUUCAUUUCAGUACUAAAGAAAAAAAAGUAGCAGCUAAUAAAUAGAUUGAAACUCUUCAAAGACUAUUUAAAGGGAGAAAAAUCACUACUGUUGGCCAAGAACAAGUUCUGAAAUAGGUAUUGAGGACCUGGAAGAGAAAUCAAUUUGGUGAUACAUUUGUACCAGAACACAGUUAAAGGGAAGCCUUUUUCCAGUGUGAAAUAAGAAUUAAUUGUUAGGUGUACAUCUGGCUUUAUUUGGAUCCAAGGAACUAAGGAAAGUGGCAGGUCACACCUGAACCAGGAGAUGGACAAGAGCAGCUGGCCAAGAAUGGCUGACCCUAAGGCUAGAAAGGAGAAAUAUUAAGGAGUGUGUAUAUGGAAGCAAGUUUAAAGGUAACCCUGGAUGAAUGUCUUUUAUGAAGUGUCAUGACCUUUAGAUACAGACAGAAGUAAAAAUACAAAACUAAUCAUAACCUUAAAUACAAAAACAGAGAUUUUUAUUUUUACCUUGCUGGUGGCAUUUUUCUGUUCUCUUAUAGGUCAUGUUGCUUUGCAAACAAACUUUAUUGCAGUCUUUCAGUACCCUGGAAGAACAGAAUCUCUAAUUCAGAGAUUAAUUUUUGGAUUAUAAGAAGAGAGAGUACAAGAUAAUAUUCCUAGUGAUUAUUAUCACUAUGUAUGUGGAAAUUUUUUUAGGGUUUAAUAUUCUAA